UACGUAGGGGGCAAGCGUUUGUCCGGAUUUAUUGGGCGUAAAGAGCGUGUAGGCGGUUUGGUAGGUCCGCUGUGAAAACUCGAGCUCAACCUCGAGACGCCGGUGGAAACCAUCAGACUAGAGUCCGGAAGAGGAGAGUGGAAUUCCUGGUGUAGCGGUGAAAUGCGCAGAUAUCAGGAAGAACACCCGUGGCUAAGGCGGCUCUCUAGUACGGUACUGACGCUGAGACGCGAAAGCGUGGGGAGCGAACAGG
rnacentral:rRNA from 1 species